UACGGGGGGGGCAAGCGUUGUUCGGAAUUACUGGGCGUAAAGGGCUCGUAGGUGGUCAACUAAGUCGGACGUGAAAUCCCUCGGCUUAACCGGGGAACUGCGUCCGAUACUGAAUGACUUGAGUUCGGGAGAGGGAUGCGGAAUUCCAGGGUGUAGCGGUGAAAUGCGUAGAUAUCUGGAGGAACACCGGUGGCGAAGGCGGCAUCCUGGACCGACACUGACGCUGAGGAGCGAAAGCCAGGGGAGCAAACAGGGAUU
rnacentral:rRNA from 1 species